rnacentral:rRNA from 1 species
UGGGGAAUUUUGGACAAUGGGCGAAAGCCUGAUCCAGCAAUGCCGCGUGUGUGAAGAAGGCCUUCGGGUUGUAAAGCACUUUUGUCCGGAAAGAAAUCCUUGGCUCUAAUACAGUCGGGGGAUGACGGUACCGGAAAAAUAAGCACCGGCUAACUACGUGCCAGCAGCCGCGGUAAUACCGUAGGGUGCAAGCGUUAAUCGGAAUUACUGGGCGUAAAGCGUGCGCAGGCGGUUUUGCUAAGACCGAUGUGAAAUCCCCGGGCUCAACCUGGGAACUGCAUUGGUGACUGGCAGGCUAGAGUAUGGCAGAGGGGGGUAGAAUUCCACGUGUAGCAGUGAAAUGCGUAGAGAUGUGGAGGAAUACCGAUGGCGAAGGCAGCCCCCUGGGGCCAAAUACUGACGCUCAUGCACGAAAAGCGUGGGGGAGCAAAACAGGAUUAGAUACCCUGGUAGUCCACGCCCUAAAACGAUGUCAACUAGUUGUUGGGGGAACUUUCAUUUUCCUUAGUAACGUAGCUAACGCGUGAAGUUGACCGCCU